rnacentral:rRNA from 1 species
UACGAAGGGGGCUAGCGUUGUUCGGAAUUACUGGGCGUAAAGCGCGCGCAGGCGGUUUUUCAAGUCAGUGGUGAAAGCCCAGAGCUCAACUCUGGAAUUGCCUUUGAGACUGAGAGGCUUGAGUACGGGAGAGGUGAGUGGAAUUCCCAGUGUAGAGGUGAAAUUCGUAGAUAUUGGGAAGAACACCGGUGGCGAAGGCGGCUCACUGGCCCGAAACUGACGCUCAUGCACGACAGCGUGGGGAUCAAACAGG